UACGUAGGGGGCAAGCGUUGUCCGGAUUUAUUGGGCGUAAAGCGCGCGUAGGCGGCCCGGUAAGUCCGCUGUGAAAGUCAAAGGCUCAACCUUUGAAUGUCAGCGGAUACUGCCGGGCUAGAGUCCGGAAGAGGCGAGUGGAAUUCCUGGUGUAGCGGUGGAAUGCGCAGAUAUCAGGAGGAACACCAACGGCGAAGGCAGCUCGCUGGGACAGUACUGACGCUGAGGCGCGAAAGCGUGGGGAGCGAACAGG
rnacentral:rRNA from 1 species